rnacentral:siRNA from 1 species
CCACUGUCCCUGUCUACUAUCCAG